GAGGGUAUAGCUCAAGUGGUAGAGUGCAUGCUUAGCAUGCAUGAGGUCGUGGGUUCAAUCCCCAGAACCUCCU
rnacentral:tRNA from 1 species